ACCCCAAAUCAAGCCUAAUAACUACUAUGAGUAAAAUUACAACAUUUCUACGACCUAAUAAAACAUUUUUCCACUUUAGUAGAGGUGAUCAAAAAACUUCUUAGCGCUUUAUAUCAAGUACCGCAAGGGAAUGAUGAAAUAGCUAUGAAAUAGCCCUAAAGUACUAAACAGCAGAGACUCCACUCGUACCUUUUGCAUCAUGGUUUAGCCAGUCCAAAUCAAGCAAAGCGAAACAUUAGUUUGACCUCCCGAAACUAGGCGAGCUACUUCGAAACAGCUUAAAAGAGCCAACCCGUCUCUGUUGCAAAAGAGUGGGAUGAUUUCCAAGUAGAAGUGAAAAGCCUACCGAGCCUAGAGAUAGCUGGUUAUUCAGGAAAAGAGUUUUAGCUCACCCUUAAGCUUACCUAUGAACACAAACAACACAACAGGCUUAAGAGUUAUUCAAUUAAGGCACAGCUUAUUUGAAAAAGAGUACAGUCUACAACCAAGGGUAAGUACCAAGAUUCGUGUUAAGUGGGCCUGAAAGCAGCCACCUUCAAAAAAGCGUUAAAGCUUUUCACAUCUCUGAUAUUUAAUACCAACACCUUUCUCGAACCCUUCACUAAUACUGAAUGACCCUAUAAAUUAUAGGAGACAUAAUGCUAAAACUAGUAACAAGAAAUAGACUUUCUCCGAAAUGCAAGUGUAAGCCAAAACGGACCCACCAUUGGCCUUUACCGUGUUUGACCCAAGUACAGCAACUCCUCCCAGAAAACCCUGUAUGCCCAAACGUUACCCUAACACAAGAACAUUCCCGGAAAGAUUAAAAGAGAAAGAAGGAACUCGGCAAACCUAAGCCCCGCCUGUUUACCAAAAACAUCGCCUCUUGAUUAAAUAUAAGAGGUCCAGCCUGCCCAGUGACAUAGUUAAACGGCCGCGGUACCCUGACCGUGCGAAGGUAGCAUAAUCACUUGUUCCUUAAAUAGGGACUUGUAUGAACGGCAUCACGAGGGCUUUACUGUCUCCUUUCUCCAAUCAGUGAAACUGAUCUCCCCGUGAAGAAGCGGGGAUGAUAAUAUAAGACGAGAAGACCCCAUGGAGCUUUAAACCCAACGACACCCCCUCAACUCCCCAACCCAUUUUAGUUGCUACAGUCCUGUUCGUUGGUUUUAGGUUGGGGUGACCGCGGAGUAUAGAUUAACCUCCACGACGAAUGGGACUACCCCCUUACCCAAGAGCUACUCCUCUAAGGAUCAAAAAAUUGACGUAAAAUGAUCCAAGCAUUUGAUCAACGGACCAAGUUACCCUGGGGAUAACAGCGCAAUCCAUUUCAAGAGCCCCUAUCGACAAAUGGGUUUACGACCUCGAUGUUGGAUCAGGGUACCCAAGUGGUGCAGCCGCUACUAAUGGUUUGUUUGUUCAACAAUUAAAACCCUACGUGAUCUGAGUUCAGACCGGAGCAAUCCAGGUCGGUUUCUAUCUAUAAAGUGUUACUCUUAGUACGAAAGGAUUGGAGUAACGUGGCCAAUAUAUAAACAAGCCACAGCUUAAGACUAAUGAAAAAAACUUAAUUAGCCACAGCCUAACACUCUCUCUUAGACCAAGACA
rnacentral:rRNA from 1 species